rnacentral:lncRNA from 10 species
UACAAACAAUCUCAUUAAUCUUCAGAAUGACCCUACAAUAAAGCUAUCAUGAAAAUGGACACACACACACAGGGCAAGGCAUUUCCCAAGGGAACAAAGAUCACGUGUGGCAGAGCUGGGAUUUAACCUUGGGCUUGCAUGACGCCAUACUUAUGUUCCUUCCAUAUUACCAUGAUGCUGCCAUCACAAGUGUGAUGCAAAUUCUAAAUUUACUUAAAUUCAGUCAAUUUCUAAAUUUACAUCCCCCGCUAAAAAAAAAACAGACUGCUCACUUGAAUUUUGACAACUUAUACUCUGGUCUUGAGAGAAUCAGUACUUCUGUGAUAGCGAUGCAAUAAUACAAGGCUGAAAACGACAACCCUACUGGAGAAAAGGAGAAAGUAAGUAAGAUUAGUCCCUAUUUGUGAAGACUGAGAGUUAGUUUAGAGGGAGAGACAGAUAAGCAUGCAGGCCCAAAAUACUUGUAAUAAUAGCUACCACUUAGGGCAUACUUCCCUGUGCCAGGAAAUAUUCCAAGUGAUUUACAUAUACUGCAUUUACUUAAUCCGCCCCACAAUCCUACAUGAUAGGUACUGUUAUUCUCAUCCUUUCACUGAUGAAGAAACUGAAGCAGAGAGUUUAAGUAACUUGAUUGUAAUCACCCAGCUGGUAGGAGUCAGAGCCAGGAUUUAUGUCUACACAGUCUGGCUCCAGCAUCCCUGAUCUUCAGCCUGAGGCUGCAGUGCAAGGGUGCACUUGGGGCACACAGGAGGGGCUCCAGGUGGUCUCAGGGAAGAUUUUCUGCAGAAACUGUCAGGGAAACGCUAAGCAGAAUGCUUAGUAUAUGACAGACACUCAAUACAUGUUUAUUGACUAAUUUGUUUGCCAAAAUUCUGAAGGAUACAGAGUAAUACAUUAGCCAGCUUCAUGAAAGGGAUGUGGAAAAGAUGGCACAGAGAGGUAUUCUGGGCAGAGUUCGGAGCAAUGGGCCAAUGUCUAGAAGGUUUGAGAAAGCACAAGGUCAGGAAGCGUGAGUGGUACAGAAUGGCUUUUGUACAUCACGAGGGUGAGGGAUGUAUCUAGAGCAGCCAGCAGGGGCCAAACUGGGCGAGGCACCAUGAGGCCGGCGCAGGAGGUUAGACUGCAUCCCGAGGGCGAUGCAAGGCCACUGUUUACUGUGUUUGGGUGGAGAAGUGCAUACAUGAAUUUACAUUUUAGAAAAAUCUCUGGUUGCUGUGUAGAAAAUGAACUGGAGGGCCCAAACCUACAGAUAGGCAGACUAGUUAGUUAGGCGGGUGCUGCACUAAUGGAAGAAAACAAAUGAUGGUAGCCUGAAUGUAAGUGUUGGUAGUAAAGAGAGAGAAAAGUGGAUAGGCUGCAGAGAUAUGAGAGGUAAAGCGGACCAGAUUAUGAGAUGUGGGAGGUGGAGGGAGAGGAGUAAACAGAUGAUGCCUAUUUUUGAUCUAGUCAAACUGGUAAACUGCCCUAAUAUGGGCAGUAGGGGAAGAGAUUAUACAGGGCUAGGGCCGCAAGCCUGGUUUUGGACUCGCUAAGUCAGAAGAGCCUAUGGGUGAUGUCCGGGUGGCAGCUGGCUACGUGAGUCUGCAGAGAUUUGGGAGGCCCUGGCACUUAGCCCCAAUCUCAUCAGAUCUUGCAACCAGCCUAUGAGCUUGGUAGGGGGAGAGCCUAUUAGCACCACUGAAUGAGGACAGAGAUUAAUAAGACAAGAACCUAAAUUGUGUCACUAAAAAACCGAACCAAUCUUCACAUUGCACAAAAAACAUAUUCAAAAGAGAUGAGAUCCUCAAGGACAACUUGAGUAAGUGAAUCAAAACUAAGUUAGAAUUCCUUUUCUGUCUGGAAUUAAUUGAUUUUUAUUGUCCACAACAGAAUCUCAAACUAAUCCCACCUUUACAGAAAUAACCUGUGAAUAGAAUAUGAACACCAGCCAUGGCAUGAACAAAUAAUGGAGAUAAGACAUGCUGUAUCGAAUUCUCAAAUUACCUUAUAACUUUCCCAAGUAAA